UCUCCUUCUAAUCUCUGGGAGCUUUGUUAUUUUGCUCUUUGGGUCCGUGCUGCCUUUAUGAGCUGUAACACCACGAGAGUUUGCAGCUUCUCUCUUGCGGCCAGCGAGACCACGAACCCACUGGGAAGAACGAACAACUCCAGACGCACCGCCUUAAGAGCUGUAAUACUCACCGGGAAGGUGUGUAGCUUCACUUCUAAAGCCGGGAGAUCACGAACCCACCACAAGGAAGAAACUUCAAACACAUCCGAACAUCAGAAGGAACAAACCCUGGACACACUGCCUUUAAGAAGUGUAACACUCACCGCGAGGGUCAGUGGCUUUAUUCUUGAAGUCAGUGAGACCAAGCGCCCACCAAUUAUGGACACAAUUUCACUUUGUUUUUUCCCCACAGUGCCAGAUGCACAACAGGUCUCAGUACAUAUUUGUUGAAAAUGAAUAAAUGAAAGAGAUGGAAGAGAGGAGGAAAGAACAGAGGGGAAGAGAAAGUGAGUGAGAAUGAACCAAAUAUUCUCUAUAGGAACCCUAGAAGAGAGCCAGAGCCACCCUGAAAGAAUGGUCAGGAGAAGCACCCGAUCUGCCUGUUUUUAGGAAACCAGCCGGCUCCAUCUCUGGUUUCCAUGCCUUUCUGAGCGCACAGAUCUAACCAGGUUUCAAAUCCAGCCACUCAAGGAGAAGCUGCAGCCUUUCCCCUUAGUUCUGAAAUGUGUAGUGACCCAGGAUCUGCAACCAGUGAGGGAUGCCACUGACACAAGAAUCUACCAGGGACAGCUGCAAACUGAACAUCAACACUACCAGCCCCACAAGUGCCCCAGUCUAACUCCAGACAGUACAGGGGCUUGCUCAUUUUAACAUAGCAAGUCCUCAGUGGGAGCACAGUUUCCUCUGGGUGAUCAAACGUGACAAUUUCAGGUCACUCUCAGAGCUGAAGCAGGAAGAGGGUAGGAGGGGACACUGCAAUGUGGAAGCUGAGAAUCUCCCACAGAGCCCCAUUUUAUUCCAGCAUCAGCUUUUUUGCCCUUCCCUUGAGCCAUAACACACCUCAGAAUAGCUAAGAGAAGGGAGAAGUGGCAGUCACACUGAAGACACAAGAGGAUUGUCAUCUAACUGGCUCCAGGCCUCGCUGCUCUGCUAAUCGUUAAAUCAAGGCCCCUCCACAACCCCUUCCUGCCAUCUGUAGGUUAAGUCCAUAGGCCUCUGAUAGCAUUUCUCAGGUGCCAACAGCCCAACAGCCUUCUAUAUGCCUUCUCAAUAUGUGAUUUUCUCAACAAUCACCAUCUGCUUUAGUAGAGGCAACCAGUGGUGUUUUUAUUUUACAGAUGGGGAGCUGAGAGGUUAAAUGUCUGAUCCAAGAUCACAAGCAAGUAAGUGGGAUCUGGUGUACCCUCAGGAUGCUGUCUCUGAAACCCUGUGUCCUGUGAAUUUCUCUCCCCAGACACCCCCUUCCACUUCCUGCGCUCCCCUACCGUGCUGCAAGCACCCCCAUGGCAGAUUUUCAGCCUUCAGUCGGUCUCUUAGGCCAGACCCUGCAUUAUCCUGUGAUCCCCAGCUCAUGGCACAGUGUCUGACUCAUACAAGGUGUUCAAUAAAUAUUUGUUGAAUAAAUUGAACUAAACCCGAGACUUCUGACUCUAAACUCAUAGUACUGGAAUCUGUUUCAGCCAAGUCACUGGCUGCAAGAAGUAUUCUAUAUUUACUGAAGAUUACUUAGAAAACAAUGACAAAUAUUUUAAAAAUGUAAAGAGGCAAAUCUCAUGAUGCAGAGAUAAUUACAAGCUACAUUUUGAGAUAUUUCCUCCAGCUUUUCUCCCAUGAAUAUAUGUUCUAUAGACUGAGAUUAUAAAUGAUUUAACAUUGGACUCUAAACAUCUUUCCUCAUCAUUUUUUUUUUAAAUCCUCAUUUCCAAUGAUACUGGGAAUUUGUAUUUCAAUAUUCAAAUACAUUCCAACAUUAUAAUAUUCAAACAUGUGUAAGUAUC
rnacentral:lncRNA from 1 species